UACGUAGGGGGCAAGCGUUGUCCGGAAUCAUUGGGCGUAAAGCGCGUGUAGGCGGCUCGAUAAGUCUGCUGUGAAAGUUCAGGGCUCAACCCUGAAAUGCCGGUGGAAACUGUCGAGCUAGAGUCCGGAAGAGGCGAGUGGAAUUCCUGGUGUAGCGGUGGAAUGCGCAGAUAUCAGGAGGAACACCAAUGGCGAAGGCAGCUCGCUGGGACGGUACUGACGCUGAGACGCGAAAGCGUGGGGAGCAAACAGG
rnacentral:rRNA from 1 species